rnacentral:rRNA from 1 species
CACUUUAAGCGAGGAGGAGGGCACUUGGGCUAAUAUCCCAAAGUGUCGGACGUUACUCGCAGAAUAAGCACCGGCUAACUCUGUGCCAGCAGCCGCGGUAAUACAGAGGGUGCGAGCGUUAAUCGGAUUUACUGGGCGUAAAGCGUGCGUAGGCGGCUGAUUAAGUCGGAUGUGAAAUCCCUGAGCUUAACUUAGGAAUUGCAUUCGAUACUGGUCAGCUAGAGUAUGGGAGAGGAUGGUAGAAUUCCAGGUGUAGCGGUGAAAUGCGUAGAGAUCUGGAGGAAUACCGAUGGCGAAGGCAGCCAUCUGGCCUAAUACUGACGCUGAGGUACGAAAGCAUGGGGAGCAAACAGGAUUAGAUACCCUGGUAGUCCAUGCCGUAAACGAUGUCUACUAGCCGUUGGGGCCUUUGAGGCUUUAGUGGCGCAGCUAACGCGAUAAGUAGACCGCCUGGGGAGUACGGUCGCAAGACUAAAACUCAAAUGAAUUGACGGGGGCCCGCACAAGCGGUGGAGCAUGUGGUUUAAUUCGAUGCAACGCGAAGAACCUUACCUGGCCUUGACAUACUAGAAACUUUCCAGAGAUGGAUUGGUGCCUUCGGGAAUCUAGAUACAGGUGCUGCAUGGCUGUCGUCAGCUCGUGUCGUGAGAUGUUGGGUUAAGUCCCGCAACGAGCGCAACCCUUUUCCUUACUUGCCAGCAUUUCGGAUGGGAACUUUAAGGAUACUGCCAUUAUCGUGAC